rnacentral:lncRNA from 1 species
UCAGUUUCAUCCCACCUAAGUUCAAGAAUCUAAUUAAUUCACUUGCACAUCAGAACAGUAAAAGAUAGAGAUGAGGCAUACGUAGUUGGAAGUAUGGGAAAGAAAUAACAUUUAAAAAAUAAAAAACAUUACUGUCUACAACAGUCAUUAGACAACCUUACAUAUUGCCAAAUAAGUGCAAUUUGUUACCCUAAGGUAUAUGAAUCUGGCCCAUUACCGUGAACUUGGGUAAUGAGUGACAUAUGGAAUUAUAUGCCUAAAUCCUCUGGUAGGCUGUAGGUAUCUCUAUUGCUGGUAAGUUUACUGUUGCCUUUAUCUCUUCAAGACAGUUGCAAUUGGUUUGGCUUCCAGCUACUACUUUUACAAAGUAAUCUAACAAACCCUAUGAUUCACUAGGGAACCAGGUGGACUACCUUGAUGACAUGGAAUUACAUGACAUGGAAUCUUAUGGCCAUUCUCAUGUGGGAUUUACUAUGGUGCAGAACCUUAUUGCUGUAGAAGAUUAACUUAAUUGCUGUCAUAGAAUGUCUUUAUCACACCAGGGGAAACAAUGUUAAUGUAAUUGAAAUAUUCCUGUUGAAUACAGACUAAUGCAAUAUAUUAUCUAACACUUAUCAAACCUGAAUGAACUGGUCGUGUCAUUUUAUUUCCUAUUGUUUUACAGGUAAGAACAGCAUGAAGUCUGCAGUUUCUCUUAGGUACAGAAAUUGAAAGAAGACGGUGUGAAGAUAAAAACUAGAACUCAGCUGUUAUGUGGUGGGAGCUGAAAUCUAAAGUAACAGAGAUUAAGAACAAAACCCAUAAUAGUCCAUUGUACUUGUUCUUUCCUCAUCUAAAGGGACAUUUUCUGGCAUGAGGAUGCUUAUUAAAGUCAGUCAAGGCAGAGAAGAAUCCUAUAUGUUUUAUGGACUUCACCACAAGUGUAGUAGCUGGGUGUUUGCAUGUCAAAAUGCUGUAGCAGUUUGCAGAUCAAGGUUUAAUAACGGGAAAAAAAAUAUAUAUAUAUUCAUAUUGAUUGUGUUUUGAUUUUCCCGGAUGUUCUUGGACAUCUUAG